CCUACGGGAGUCAGCCGUUUUUACUAUUGCCCCCUGGGGGCCCCCCUGAUGCAGCGACGCCGCGUGAGUGAAGAAGCGUUUCGGCGCGUAAAGCUCUGUCAGCGGGGAAGAAACACGGUUCGCGAGAGCCGCGGACGGUACCCGACCAAGAAGCCCCGGCUAACUACGUGCCAGCAGCCGCGGUAAUACGUAGGGGGCAAGCGUUAUCCGGAUUCACUGGGUGUAAAGGGAGCGUAGACGGCGAGACAAGUCUGGAGUGAAAGGCCGGGGCCCAACCCCGGGACUGCUCUGGAAACUGCCUGGCUGGAGUACAGGAGAGGUAAGUGGAAUUCCUAGUGUAGCGGUGAAAUGCGUAGAUAUUAGGAGGAACACCAGUGGCGAAGGCGGCUUACUGGACUGUAACUGACGUUGAGGCUCGAAAGCGUGGGGAGCAAACAGGAUUAGAUACCCUUGUAGUC
rnacentral:rRNA from 1 species